rnacentral:rRNA from 1 species
UACAGAGGUCUCAAGCGUUGUUCGGAUUCAUUGGGCGUAAAGGGUGCGUAGGCGGCGCGGUAAGUCGGGUGUGAAAUCUCGGAGCUUAACUCCGAAACUGCAUUCGAUACUGCCGUGCUUGAGGACUGGAGAGGAGGCUGGAAUUUACGGUGUAGCGGUGAAAUGCGCAGAUAUCAGGAGGAACACCGGUGGCGAAGGCGGUUCUCUGGGCAUGUCCUGACGCUGAGGAGCGAAAGUGUGGGGAGCGAACAGG